rnacentral:rRNA from 1 species
UACCAGCACGUUAUGGUGGGCACUCUAAGGAGACUGCCGGUGACAAACCGGAGGAAGGUGGGGAUGACGUCAAGUCAUCAUGGCCCUUACGGCCUGGGCUACACACGUGCUACAAUGGUCGGUACAAAGGGUUGCCAAGCCGCGAGGUGGAGCUAAUCCCAUAAAACCGAUCGUAGUCCGGAUCGCAGUCUGCAACUCGACUGCGUGAAGUCGGAAUCGCUAGUAAUCGUGAAUCAGAAUGUCACGGUGAAUACGUUCCCGGGCCUU